UACGUAGGGUGCAAGCUUUAAUCGGAAUUACUGGGCGUAAAGCGUGCGCAGGCGGUGAUGUAAGACAGGUGUGAAAUCCCCGGGCUUAACCUGGGAACUGCAUUUGUGACUGCAUCGCUGGAGUGCGGCAGAGGGGGAUGGAAUUCCGCGUGUAGCAGUGAAAUGCGUAGAUAUGCGGAGGAACACCGAUGGCGAAGGCAAUCCCCUGGGCCUGCACUGACGCUCAUGCACGAAAGCGUGGGGAGCAAACAGG
rnacentral:rRNA from 1 species